AGUAAGGUCAGCUAAUGAAGCUUUUGGGCCCAUACCCCAAAAAUGUUGGUUAAACCCCCUCCCCUACUA
rnacentral:tRNA from 1 species